rnacentral:rRNA from 1 species
UACCAGCACCCCGAGUGGUCGGGACGUUUAUUGGGCCUAAAGCAUCCGUAGCCGGUUCUACAAGUCUUCCGUUAAAUCCACCUGCUUAACAGAUGGGCUGCGGAAGAUACUAUAGAGCUAGGAGGCGGGAGGAGGCAAGCGGUACUCGAUGGGUAGGGGUAAAAUCCGUUGAUCCAUUGAAGACCACCAGUGGCGAAGGCGGCUUGCCAGAACGCGCUCGACGGUGAGGGAUGAAAGCUGGGGGAGCAAACCGG